AUGGAUAAUAAAGUUUUCUUAUGUUGGCGGUUUCGAUGCAAUCACAACAUUAUUCAUCACCAAUGUCAAGCAUGUGGAGAAGUGAUGCCUUCCUACAAUGUUCUUCGUGUUGCUCAAUUUGUAAGUCUUCAUAUGCAAUUUAACUCGUGUCUCAUCAUCAUAUUUGUUCUGAUGAAAUUUUUUUCUUCGUAUUUUCCAUUUUUUACAGUGAAUCAUAUCUUAAUGGUGAACCAUAUAUUUUAUCAUGAUACUUGUGACUUAAAUUUGUGUCUUAGUAUUUUGCUUCAUUCCUGGAAAUGGAUAUGGUGUUCACAUG